rnacentral:rRNA from 1 species
GGUCAAGUGAAGAAGCGCAUACGGUGGAUGCCUUGGCAGUCAGAGGCGAUGAAAGACGUGGUAGCCUGCGAAAAGCUUCGGGGAGUCGGCAAACAGACUGUGAUCCGGAGAUGUCUGAAUGGGGGAACCCAGCCAUCAUAAGAUGGUUAUCUUACACUGAAUACAUAGGUGUAAGAGGCGAACCAGGGGAACUGAAACAUCUAAGUACCCUGAGGAAAAGAAAUCAACCGAGAUUCCCUUAGUAGUGGCGAGCGAACGGGGACCAGCCCUUAAGUUGUAUUGAGAUUAGCGGAACGCUCUGGAAAGGGCGGCCAUAGUGGGUGAUAGCCCUGUACGCGAAAAUCCCUUUGCAAUGAAAUCGAGUAGGACGGGGCACGAGAAACCUUGUCUGAAUAUGGGGGGACCAUCCUCCAAGGCUAAAUACUACUGACUGACCGAUAGUGAACCAGUACCGUGAGGGAAAGGCGAAAAGAACCGCGGAGAGCGGAGUGAAAUAGAUCCUGAAACCGUAUGCGUACAAGCAGUGGGAGCCCACUUUGUUGGGUGACUGCGUACCUUUUGUAUAAUGGGUCAGCGACUUAUUUUCAGUGGCGAGCUUAACCGAAUAGGGGAGGCGUAGCGAAAGCGAGUCUUAAUAGGGCGUCUAGUCGCUGGGAAUAGACCCGAAACCGGGCGAUCUAUCCAUGGGCAGGUUGAAGGUUGGGUAACACUAACUGGAGGACCGAACCGACUACCGUUGAAAAGUUAGCGGAUGACCUGUGGAUCGGAGUGAAAGGCUAAUCAAGCUCGGAGAUAGCUGGUUCUCCUCGAAAGCUAUUUAGGUAGCGCCUCAUGUAUCACUGUAGGGGGUAGAGCACUGUUUCGGCUAGGGGGUCAUCCCGACUUACCAAACCGAUGCAAACUCCGAAUACCUACAAGUGCCGAGCAUGGGAGACACACGGCGGGUGCUAACGUCCGUCGUGAAAAGGGAAACAACCCAGACCGUCAGCUAAGGUCCCAAAGUCAUGGUUAAGUGGGAAACGAUGUGGGAAGGCUUAGACAGCUAGGAGGUUGGCUUAGAAGCAGCCACCCUUUAAAGAAAGCGUAAUAGCUCACUAGUCGAGUCGGCCUGCGCGGAAGAUGUAACGGGGCUCAAACCAUGCACCGAAGCUACGGGUAUCAUCUUUUGAUGAUGCGGUAGAGGAGCGUUCUGUAAGCCUGUGAAGGUGAGUUGAGAAGCUUGCUGGAGGUAUCAGAAGUGCGAAUGCUGACAUGAGUAACGACAAUGGGUGUGAAAAACACCCACGCCGAAAGACCAAGGUUUCCUGCGCAACGUUAAUCGACGCAGGGUUAGUCGGUCCCUAAGGCGAGGCUGAAAAGCGUAGUCGAUGGAAAACAGGUUAAUAUUCCUGUACUUCUGGUUAUUGCGAUGGAGGGACGGAGAAGGCUAGGCCAGCCUGGCGUUGGUAGUCCAGGUUUAAGGUGGUAGGCUGAGAUCUUAGGUAAAUCCGGGAUCUUAAGGCCGAGAGCUGAUGACGAGUGUUCUUUUAGAACAUGAAGUGGUUGAUGCCAUGCUUCCAAGAAAAGCUUCUAAGCUUCAGGUAACCAGGAACCGUACCCCAAACCGACACAGGUGGUUGGGUAGAGAAUACCAAGGCGCUUGAGAGAACUCGGGUGAAGGAACUAGGCAAAAUGGCACCGUAACUUCGGGAGAAGGUGCGCCGGUGAGGGUGAAGCAUUUACUGCGUAAGCCCACGCCGGUCGAAGAUACCAGGCCGCUGCGACUGUUUAUUAAAAACACAGCACUCUGCAAACACGAAAGUGGACGUAUAGGGUGUGACGCCUGCCCGGUGCCGGAAGGUUAAUUGAUGGGGUUAGCGCAAGCGAAGCUCUUGAUCGAAGCCCCGGUAAACGGCGGCCGUAACUAUAACGGUCCUAAGGUAGCGAAAUUCCUUGUCGGGUAAGUUCCGACCUGCACGAAUGGCGUAACGAUGGCGGCGCUGUCUCCACCCGAGACUCAGUGAAAUUGAAAUCGCUGUGAAGAUGCAGUGUAUCCGCGGCUAGACGGAAAGACCCCGUGAACCUUUACUAUAGCUUUGCACUGGACUUUGAAUUUGCUUGUGUAGGAUAGGUGGGAGGCUUUGAAGCGUGGACGCCAGUCUGCGUGGAGCCAACCUUGAAAUACCACCCUGGCAACUUUGAGGUUCUAACUCAGGUCCGUUAUCCGGAUCGAGGACAGUGUAUGGUGGGUAGUUUGACUGGGGCGGUCUCCUCCUAAAGAGUAACGGAGGAGUACGAAGGUGCGCUCAGACCGGUCGGAAAUCGGUCGUAGAGUAUAAAGGCAAAAGCGCGCUUGACUGCGAGACAGACACGUCGAGCAGGUACGAAAGUAGGUCUUAGUGAUCCGGUGGUUCUGUAUGGAAGGGCCAUCGCUCAACGGAUAAAAGGUACUCCGGGGAUAACAGGCUGAUACCGCCCAAGAGUUCAUAUCGACGGCGGUGUUUGGCACCUCGAUGUCGGCUCAUCACAUCCUGGGGCUGAAGCCGGUCCCAAGGGUAUGGCUGUUCGCCAUUUAAAGUGGUACGCGAGCUGGGUUUAGAACGUCGUGAGACAGUUCGGUCCCUAUCUGCCGUGGACGUUUGAGAUUUGAGAGGGGCUGCUCCUAGUACGAGAGGACCGGAGUGGACGAACCUCUGGUGUUCCGGUUGUCACGCCAGUGGCAUUGCCGGGUAGCUAUGUUCGGAAAAGAUAACCGCUGAAAGCAUCUAAGCGGGAAACUUGCCUCAAGAUGAGAUCUCACUGGAACCUUGAGUUCCCUGAAGGGCCGUCGAAGACUACGACGUUGAUAGGUUGGGUGUGUAAGCGCUGUGAGGCGUUGAGCUAACCAAUACUAAUUGCCCGUGAGGCUUGACCAUAUAACACCCA